UUGGGAGAUAAUCCUAGAGUGUUCACUGA
rnacentral:piRNA from 1 species